AACUAAACAGGAUUCCUUCAGUAAUGGCGAAUGAACAGGGAUCGGCUCAGCAUGGAAAUUGGGGCCAUUGGCCCUGAAUUGUAGUCUCAAGAUGUACUGCCAACGGAGGCGCAGAUGUAAGCCUCUUGGAAAAGAGCAUCAGCGAGGGUGACAAUCCCGCUUGCCAUCUGCAGCCCCCCGUGCACGGUGUACCUUCUAAGAGUCACGUUCCUCGGGAUUGGAGCGCGAAGUGGGUGGUAAAUUUCAUCUACAGCUAAAUACUGGUUCGAGACCGAUAGCGAACAAGUACCAUGAGGGAAAGGUGAAAAGGACUUUGAAAAGAGAGUUAGAAGUGCCUGAACUUGCUGAAAGGGAAGCGAAUGGAACCAGUGUUGCUUGGCAAGAUUGUUGUGCACCACUGUGAGGGUCUGCUAUGUUAGCGCAAGCGGCAUGGUAGAGUCAGAGCAGGACUUGCACGGUGUUUCUUGCCUUGUGUGUCAGCGUCAGUUUGUGCGUGGGGAAGACGUCAAGGGCAUGGUAGCUUGCCCAUGGGCGUGUGAAUGUGCUUGCUCGAACACACGCAGGAACUGCACGGUGACUAAAUAGUUCUUUUCGACCCGUCUUGAAACACGGACCAAGGAGUCUGACGUAUGUGCGAGUUCGCGGGUGGGUAAACCUGCUUGCCCAAUGAAAGUGACUGCUGGGACUCUUGCACCAGCAACCGACCAAUCAAUUGAGAGAGGUUUGAGUAUGAGCAUAUCUGUUAGGACCCGAAAGAUGGUGAACUAUGCCUGUGAAGGGCAAACUCAGGGGAAACUCUGAUGGAGGCUCGUAGCGAUACUGACGUGCAAAUCGUUCGUCAUACAUGGGUAUAGGG
rnacentral:rRNA from 1 species